UACGAAGGGGGCUAGCGUUGUUCGGAAUUACUGGGCGUAAAGCGCACGUAGGCGGAUAUUUAAGUCAGGGGUGAAAUCCCAGAGCUCAACUCUGGAACUGCCUUUGAUACUGGGUAUCUUGAGUAUGGAAGAGGUUAGUGGAAUUGCGAGUGUAGAGGUGAAAUUCGUAGAUAUUCGCAGGAACACCAGUGGCGAAGGCGGCUAACUGGUCCAUAACUGACGCUGAGGUGCGAAAGCGUGGGGAGCAAACAGG
rnacentral:rRNA from 1 species